UGAUUGUUGCAGUGAAAGUUGGUUACGAAGAAAAUACAUCCAUUUGUGUGUUUCUUUCAUCACACUGCUGCACUUUUUUGUUGUGUUUACCUCUAUCUUGUUGAUGAUGCAAACAGAAUUAUGGGAGAUUUCUCAUAUCC